GUGCUCACUUAGGCGGCACAUAUACUAAAAUUGGAAUGAUACUGAGAAGAUUAGCAUGGCCCCUGUGCAAGGAUGACACGCAAAUUUGUGAAGCGUUCCAGAUUAAA
ensembl:snRNA U6 U6 spliceosomal RNA